rnacentral:rRNA from 1 species
CCCUUAGAUGUUCUGGGCCGCACGCGCGCUACACUGAUGAACGCAACGAGACCACCUGUACCGAAAGGCAUGGGUAAACUUGUGAAAGUUCAUCGUGAUGGGGAUAGAUUAUUGCAAUUAUUAAUCUUCAACGAGGAAUUCCUAGUAAGCGCGAGUCAUCAGCUCGCGUUGAUUACGUCCCUGCCCUUUGUACACACCGCCCGUCGCUCCUACCGAUUGAAUGAUCCGGUGAAAUCUUCGGAUUGCUGGAUAGGACUUCAUUGACCUAUCUGCGAGAAGUUGCUUGAACCUUAUCAUUUAGAGGAAGGAGAAGUCGUANCA